rnacentral:lncRNA from 1 species
AGACGAGAACCUGGCAGGUGGGCAGCGGCGUAGACUCAGCUCCCGAUUCCCUGCCGGGCGAAGCUCUGCGUCAUUUAGUCCAGGGGACACCCCAAGGCAGCGGUUCAGACAGCGAAGACCAGGCCCCCUGGGGGCGCCCAGUUCCCACAGCAAAGGAUCUGGUGUGGAAUGGGAUGGCUCCAUUGAGACCCUCUCGGAACAUGAAGCAGAUGCCACUGGAGAGGCCCUCCAGGAACAGAAACCAGAGAAACAAUUCCUUACCUCUUCCCUCAGCCAGUGAUACUGUGGGGACAGAAGGCACAGGAGUGCAGCCUUCUCCCCACUGUAGGGUCAGUGGCAUUCCCAGGCAGCCCAAGAGCCAGGGGGCCUGGGGACCCCAAGAAGAAUCCUUGGACAAAGAAGCCUGGGCUCUCAGGUCCCCCACAGCUGGGACUCUGAGGAGGAGCUGGGACAAGGUUGUGGACAGGGGAUGUGACUGGUCCGAACGGGGAGCUCCUGGCCAGGGCUCUUGCUCUCAGAUACAUCUAUCACUGAGAAGGCGAUGUCUGGGAGAUUCCCCAGCUAAAGACGGCUGGCCCUCCGCCAGGUCUAGCUGGGGACCUAAGGCCCAUUCCCUGGAGACAGACCUGGGCUAAUAUCUGAGCAUUGUCUGGGACAUGAGAGUGUGGAGAAUAAAGCUGUAACCCCUUGAAUCUG